GCGAAGCACGCUGGGAGCCGGGAGAGCCGCCAGCUCUCGCGAGAGCUCGGGCGCGAUCUCGGCCGGGGAGCGUCGCUGAGAGGAAGCUUUCUGCAAUGUCUCCAGGUAACUUCGAAGCACCGAUCUCAAAGCAGGAAAACCUGCUGAGAUGUGGAAAAUCUUGAAGGAAAAGACAUUUUAAAUUGAAACCAGCUUGAAUCCUGAAACACUGAAGCUUUCCAGCCUUCAGACAGCUGCCUGCACGUCCUUUCCCUGAAAUCCUCUCUCCUGACCAGCGUAUGGAAUCCUGCACUCCUCCUCCCAGGGGCUUCUGCACCCCCGUCUUGCUGCUGGUAGACACAGCACAGAGAGACCUGGCUGUAGAACAAGGCAGAGAUCCACUGGGAGCCUGGGAAGUGAGCAGGUCCCAACACUAUGCCGUGCUCAGAUUUGAGAAGGACAAAGAUUAAAAGAAGAGGGGAAAUGAAAAGCAGGGUACUGGAGGAUGAACGAUACCAACCUUAAUGAUACACAACACCAUCUUGUGCUGCUUAUUUCUGUGCCUCGAACUGUUUGCCACAAUUUCUCUGAAAAAAAAGCCAGAAAAUGUGUGUUUUAAAAUGCCAUUCCCCUGUAAUGUGAAUCACAGUAAAAUACUGCUGUAGGAUCUCCUGAACACCAGCCAGAUCAGCAGUCGGUACCAUGAAGAGAGGAAGAACAUGCAUGAGCUGUCUGACCCAACAACAGCUGAAUAAAGAAUAACCUGAGAUUUGCAACCAUAAAGCUUGCAACCAUAAACCAUUGCAAAUUAGCAGUAAUGGAGAGAACUAACAUUACAUGUCUUUAUAGGGCUUUGCUAAACUAAGUAACAAAUUAAUUGGUUUUAAUAAAUAACUCCUUUUCUUUCCUGUAGGCACUGGGAUGUUGAGCAGCA